rnacentral:rRNA from 1 species
UACGGGGGGGGGCAAGCGUUGUCCGGAAUUAUUGGGCGUAAAGAGCUCGUAGGCGGCUUGUCACGUCGGGUGUGAAAGCCCGGGGCUUAACCCUGGGUCUGCAUUCGAUACGGGCUAGCUAGAGUGUGGUAGGGGAGAUCGGAAUUCCUGGUGUAGCGGUGAAAUGCGCAGAUAUCAGGAGGAACACCGGUGGCGAAGGCGGAUCUCUGGGCCAUUACUGACGCUGAGGAGCGAAAGCGUGGGGAGCGAACAGG